UAGGGAAUCUUCGGCAAUGGACGAAAGUCUGACCGAGCAACGCCGCGUGAGUGAAGAAGGUUUUCGGAUCGUAAAACUCUGUUGGUAGAGAAGAACGUUGGUGAGAGUGGAAAGCUCAUCAAGUGACGGUAACUACCCAGAAAGGGACGGCUAACUACGUGCCAGCAGCCGCGGUAAUACGUAGGUCCCGAGCGUUGUCCGGAUUUAUUGGGCGUAAAGCGAGCGCAGGUGGUUUAUUAAGUCUGGUGUAAAAGGCAGUGGCUCAACCAUUGUAUGCAUUGGAAACUGGUAGACUUGAGUGCAGGAGAGGAGAGUGGAAUUCCAUGUGUAGCGGUGAAAUGCGUAGAUAUAUGGAGGAACACCGGUGGCGAAAGCGGCUCUCUGGCCUGUAACUGACACUGAGGCUCGAAAGCGUGGGGAGCAAACAGGAUUAGAUACCCUGGUAGUCCACGCGUAAACGAUGAG
rnacentral:rRNA from 1 species